GGAUUCCCUCAGUAACUGCGAGUGAAGCGGGACCGGCUCAAUGUGUGAAUCUGGCUUGGGGUAGAUCCCUGGUCCGAGUUGUGCACUAUGGACGUUUCGUCUGCGUUUGUAAUGGCGGUGGAAGUCCGUUGAAACACGGCACCUCAGAGGGUCACAGUCCUGUACCACCUGCCUGCACUCGCGCCAAUGACAAGCGCUCCUCGAGUCGCGUAGUUUUGUAAUGCUGCGCCAAGUGGGAGGUAGAGACCUUCUAAGGCUAAAUAUGAUGACGUGACCGAUAGCACACAAGUACCGCGAGGGAAAGGUGAAAAGCAACCAUGAAAAAUGGGUUGAAACAGUAGUGAAAGCGCUACCGGGAUAAGGGCUAUCGGGUGCUGGGGCUUCUUGGGUGUGCUUCAGUGCUACCCUUGGAGACGGCCCGCGUGGGUUGAUGUUGGGGCGAUAGACGCGCCGUUGGAAUUCAGCUGUCUUCGGGCAGUGUUGUAGCCUUCGGUUGCCGAUCCUCCUGCGACCUUUUGUAAUUGCGGGUCUUGCGACCGUUAGCCGCCCGUCUUGAA
rnacentral:rRNA from 1 species